AGCGCGCGGCUCCCGACCGCGGCUCCCGACCUCGGCUCCUGAGGGCGAGGAACGUGCGCUGGGGCUCCAGACUCCCGGGGCUCCCGGAGGUCGGAGUGCAGAUUCCUGCGGCUUUUGGACCCCGGCGCUCCGUACAGCAGCUGGGAGAAGGGUGUGCGCGCGUGUGUGAUUCAUCACUAUUGAUGUCAACAGGCCUGACGUUCAGCAGGUGAAUCUCUGAGCUUUGAGAUGCUCUGACUUCGGCAGCAAAGACGACUCCACUCAGCCCUGAGCCCAAGCCACAUUUUGAGGGGCUGUCACACCUGAGUUACACGCCCAGAGGGAAAAAUUCAGCAUUAUCAUCUUGAACUUAGUGCGUGAAGACUGAAAACAGGAAAGCAAGAUGUUUGGGGUGAUUUUGGCACUUGUCCCCAGUGUGGAUGAAUCCCAGACAGUGACAUUCUGCCGCCCCAAUAUGUAAGCAUCCUUUAGCUGUGUCCUAUUCCCUCUUGGAGGUGCGGGAUCCAUCCCCCUAGGGAACCCAGUGACCCCUGGUGCCCUCUGGGCAGGGGUUUCUCCUGGGCUCCCAGGCCUGCUUGAUCAGAAACCAGGAACAGUCGUCCCAACAGUACAGCCCUGAGAAGGAUGGGACAGACAGGUUUUGCAGAGGGUACUACGUGGUACUUUACAGGCUGGGAGCAUGGGGACCAGGAAGCUGGGGCUCUGGGUCCCGGAGGCUGAUGUUCUGGCCUGGCAGAGCCAAAGCUCCAGAUCAGACUGCAGUGGGGGCUUCCUGGGUGACAGGAGCUGCACCCUGUAUCCGUGAAGUGACCACUUUAAAGAGGGUGUGUGUGUGCAUGUGUGUGUAUGUGAUUGGGGUGUAAUUAUUUUUAACAACAGCUAACAUUUUACCUCUCCUGAAUAGGUGAGGAAAUAUUUUAACCAUGCAUUUUAAUGACGCAUCAUUCCCUCCUGGACCCAAAUGUUCCUCCCCGGCAGGGCACAGUGCUGAGUACUAGG